UACGUAGGGGGCGAGCGUUUAUCCGGAAUACUGGGCGUAAAGCGCACGCAGGCGGUUCGCCAAGUUUGGAGUGACAGUUGUCGGCUCAACCGACAAAGGACUUCAAAAACUGGUGAACUUGAGGACGAGAGAGGAACAUGGAACUCCAGGUGUAGUAGUGAAAUGCGUAGAUAUUGGGAAGAACACCGGUGGCGAAGGCGAGUCUCUGGACAUUUCCUGACGCUGAGGGCACGAAAGCCAGGGGAGCAAACGGG
rnacentral:rRNA from 1 species